CAGUAGCCACGGGAAUACAGAGGGUGCAAGCGUUAAUCGGAAUUACUGGGCGUAAAGCGCGCGUAGGUGGUUUGUUAAGUUGGAUGUGAAAUCCCCGGGCUCAACCUGGGAACUGCAUCCAAAACUGGCAAGCUAGAGUAUGGUAGAGGGUGGUGGAAUUUCCUGUGUAGCGGUGAAAUGCGUAGAUAUAGGAAGGAACACCAGUGGCGAAGGCGACCACCUGGACUGAUACUGACACUGAGGUGCGAAAGCGUGGGGAGCAAGCAGGAUUAGAUACCCCUGUAGUCCCUGUCUCUUAUAC
rnacentral:rRNA from 1 species